UACAGCAUACAACCCUGAACACGCCCGAUCUUGUCUGAUCUCAGAAGCUAAGCAGAGUUGGGCCUGGUUAGUAUUUGGAUAGGAGAUUGCUCUACUGAAUGCGAGAAAAAUUGGACUUCAUUGCAC
rnacentral:rRNA from 1 species